CCUGACUGGAAUAGAGUUGGAGGGCGUUUUUUAGUAGUAGGCUAUAGAGUGAUAUUCAAGGAUACAUGCUAGAAAGAACAGCGAUUGGGUAUACCACAAAGGGAAAACACUGCGAGGGACGUUUGUAACGGUGAUCGGGUUACUCCUCUGGCCCAUCAGCUGAAUAGGUGGGGCUUGAUCAAUGGCAGGAAACUGAAGGAUCAAAUGUCAUAAAAUGGUGCCAGGCUGUGACACGAAGGCAGGGGCCGUGAAACCGUACCUUCAUCAUCAGACUGUACAGUAGAGAGACAGAGUCUCACUCCCGGUGUAAGCGGGGCAUAAAAAUACUUUGCAUGAUAAGGAGCUGCACAGGG